rnacentral:misc_RNA from 1 species
GAAAUGAAGGGGCUUCCUUAGGGGGGUUCCAUACUCUAUUUCUGUGCACUGUUUUUUUUUUAGGUCGACUCCCUUAGGGGGGUUGCCUAAUGCCCCUGGGUAGCCUUUUGUUUUUUCCCUAGGGAAAAAAUGAACUACCCAGUCAAAAUAUUUUUACUUAUAUCUGACUGAACCUAACAGAAAAUUGUUAAUUAAUAAA